GACGAACGCUGGCGGCGUGCUUAACACAUGCAAGUCGAACGGAAAGGCCCUGCUUUUGUGGGGUGCUCGAGUGGCGAACGGGUGAGUAACACGUGAGUAACCUGCCCUUGACUUUGGGAUAACUUCAGGAAACUGGGGCUAAUACCGGAUAGGAGCUCCUGCUGCAUGGUGGGGGUUGGAAAGUUUCGGCGGUUGGGGAUGGACUCGCGGCUUAUCAGCUUGUUGGUGGGGUAGUGGCUUACCAAGGCUUUGACGGGUAGCCGGCCUGGGAGGGUGACCGGGGUCAUGGGGACUGAGAGACGGCCCAGACGGCUACGGGAGGCAGCAGUGGGGAAUAUGGCGCAAUGGGCGGGAGCGUGAUACAGCAACGCCGCGUGCGUGAUGACGGCCUUCGGGUUGUGAACCGCUUUCGCCUGUGACGAAGCGUGAGUGACGGUAAUGGGUAAGGAAGCACCGGCUAACUACGUG
rnacentral:rRNA from 1 species